rnacentral:lncRNA from 11 species
UUAUUUAUUAUUUUAUCUCAAUAUUCUCCUCUCCCCUUUGUCAUCAGAUGUGGAAAAGAGUGGAAGGGCAACCGUUGCAACAUAAAAGUUGAGACUUCUGGUCCCCUUCAAAAUGAUGCUUGGACUGGGCUGAGUAUUGGAUUAGCUUUGCUGUUGAUUGAAAUUGCAGCCACUGUUUCAUGCCUCCUUUCAAAGAGGAAAUUGGCAAGAACAAAACCUGAGAACUUCAAUACAGCAUUUGACAACCCACUUUAUGAGGCUCAGAGUGUAAAGUCUACAGAGUGUUCUGCCUCACUGGAAGCUCGGAUCAGUGUUUCUCCAUGGCAGGCACAGCAGGAGGUUUCCUACAACAAUGAUGUAAUGCCUACUUCCUUUGCUAAUCCUCUCUAUGGCACAACAGAAGGGGAAGAUGCCGUGAAACAGUAGAGGUGGGCACAAUACAGGGUGGACAUUUUAUUCAACUUUAUCUGAUGUAAUGUACCUUGCUUUUUUAAAAAAAAAUGAAUUGACUAAUGGCAUAGCAUUUGUAAACUGAACAAAAAUAGAGUGAUUUUCAUAUUAGAAGAGUAAUGUUCUCCAGAUUACACUUCAUUCAAAAUAGCAUCAAGUCCACCCACAUGGGGAGGCAGAGCCUUAAAUGGUAGUUAUGUUGGCAGCAAUAUUCUUGGUAAUUAUUUGUUUUGAAUUGACUAGAUGGUUGAGCAGCUCAAAUUCCAGUGUAUUAAUAAAGAAAAGUUUCAUUUAAUCUAAAGCAGGAUUGAGGUUUUCUUGGCAUUCUAAUUUUACUGCCUUUAUUGAAAAAUGAUGACUGAAAAAUGUUCAUGCUUCUAAAUGCAGGGACUUAAAAAGUUAUAUUACACACAAAAUAACAGCUUCGGCAGAAUCCAAGUGAUCAGAGUGAUUGCAAUAGCUUUGCUCUUACAAUAACAACAUAGCGUAAUGGAUACUUUAGAGAACUAAUCUGUUUUGCUUGACUUUGUCGGAUCUACACCAAACCAAACAUAGUUUCAAAGAUACCACCGUCUUGCCUUCUGAUCUCACUAGCCAUGUUGGUGGGGAUAGGCCAGAAGGCAACUUUUCCAAAUUUUAAGCAAAGGUACCAAGUAUGCGACCAUAAAUUCAAUUUAGAAAUGGCGAGGUGUAAAUGUAAUUAUUUUAAAAAUUC